GGAGAGGUGGCUCAGCGGUGAAGAGCACUGUCUGCUCUUCUAGAGGUCCUGAGUUCAAUUCUCAGCAACCACA
rnacentral:tRNA from 1 species